GCCGGCGUAGCUCAGCGGUAGAGCAGCUGAUUCGUAAUCAGCAGGCCACCGGUUCAAAUCCGGUCGCCGGCUCCA
rnacentral:tRNA from 1 species